rnacentral:rRNA from 1 species
UACGAAGGGGGCUAGCGUUGCUCGGAAUUACUGGGCGUAAGGGGCGCGUAGGCGGCACUGUUAGUCAGGCGUGAAAGUCCUGGGCUCAACCUGGGAACUGCGCUUGAUACGGCAGAGCUAGAGGAUGGAAGAGGCUCGCGGAAUUCCCAGUGUAGAGGUGAAAUUCGUAGAUAUUGGGAAGAACACCGGUGGCGAAGGCGGCGAGCUGGUCCAUUACUGACGCUGAGGCGCGACAGCGUGGGGAGCAAACAGG